rnacentral:rRNA from 1 species
AGAGUUUGAUCCUGGCUCAGGACGAACGCUGGCGGCAUGCCUAACACAUGCAAGUCGAGCGAGUAGAUCCCUUCGGGGUGAAGCUAGCGGCGGACGGGUGAGUAACACGUGGGCAACCUGCCUCAUAGAGGGGAAUAGCCUUCCGAAAGGGAGAUUAAUACCGCAUAAGAUUGUAGCUUCGCAUGAAGUAGCAAUUAAAGGAGCAAUCCGCUAUGAGAUGGGCCCGCGGCGCAUUAGCUAGUUGGUGAGGUAACGGCUCACCAAGGCGACGAUGCGUAGCCGACCUGAGAGGGUGAUCGGCCACAUUGGAACUGAGACACGGUCCAAACUCCUACGGGAGGCAGCAGUGGGGAAUAUUGCACAAUGGGCGAAAGCCUGAUGCAGCAACGCCGCGUGAGCGAUGAAGGCCUUCGGGUCGUAAAGCUCUGUCCUCAAGGAAGAUAAUGACGGUACUUGAGGAGGAAGCCCCGGCUAACUACGCGCCAGCAGCCGCGGUAAUACGUAGGGGGCUAGCGUUAUCCGGAAUUACUGGGCGUAAAGGGUGCGUAGGUGGUUUCUUAAGUCAGAGGUGAAAGGCUACGGCUCAACCGUAGUAAGCCUUUGAAACUGGGAAACUUGAGUGCAGGAGAGGAGAGUGGAAUUCCUAGUGUAGCGGUGAAAUGCGUAGAUAUUAGGAGGAACACCAGUUGCGAAGGCGGCUCUCUGGACUGUAACUGACACUGAGGCACGAAAGCGUGGGGAGCAAACAGGAUUAGAUACCCUGGUAGUCCACGCCGUAAACGAUGAGUACUAGCUGUCGGAGGUUACCCCCUUCGGUGGCGCAGCUAAC